rnacentral:rRNA from 1 species
AUUGAACGCUGGCGGCAGGCCUAACACAUGCAAGUCGAAUGGUAACAGGAAACAGCUUGCUGUUUCGCUGACGAGUGGCGGACGGGUGAGUAAUGUCUGGGAAACUGCCUGAUGGAGGGGGAUAACUACUGGAAACGGUAGCUAAUACCGCAUAACGUCGCAAGACCAAAGAGGGGGACCUUCGGGCCUCUUGCCAUCAGAUGUGCCCAGAUGGGAUUAGCUAGUAGGUGGGGUAACGGCUCACCUAGGCGACGAUCCCUAGCUGGUCUGAGAGGAUGACCAGCCACACUGGAACUGAGACACGGUCCAGACUCCUACGGGAGGCAGCAGUGGGGAAUAUUGCACAAUGGGCGCAAGCCUGAUGCAGCCAUGCCGCGUGUAUGAAGAAGGCCUUCGGGUUGUAAAGUACUUUCAGCGGGGAGGAAGGGAGUAAAGUUAAUACCUUUGCUCAUUGACGGUACCCGCAGAAGAAGCACCGGCUAACUCCGUG